UACGAAGGGGGCUAGCGUUGCUCGGAAUUACUGGGCGUAAAGGGCGCGUAGGCGGACAUUUAAGUCAGGGGUGAAAUCCCAGAGCUCAACUCUGGAACUGCCUUUGAUACUGGAGAGCUUGAGUCCGGGAGAGGUGAGUGGAACUGCGAGUGUAGAGGUGAAAUUCGUAGAUAUUCGCAAGAACACCAGUGGCGAAGGCGGCUCACUGGCCCGGUACUGACGCUGAGGUGCGAAAGCGUGGGGAGCAAACAGG
rnacentral:rRNA from 1 species